rnacentral:rRNA from 1 species
UACAGAGGUCCCCAAGCGUUUGUUCGGAUUCACUGGGCGUAAAGGGUGCGUAGGUGGUGAGGUAAGUCGGAUGUGAAAGCUCGGAGCUCAACUCCGAAAAUGGCAUUGGAAACUACCUUGCUCGAGGGUUGGAGGGGGGGACUGGAAUACUUGGUGUAGCAGUGAAAUCGUAGAUAUCAAGUGGAACACCAAGUGGCGAAGGCGGCUUUCUGGCCUGUUUCUUUGACGCUGAGGCGCGAAAGCUAGGGGUAGCAAACGGG